rnacentral:rRNA from 1 species
CCUGGUGACAAAAGCGGAGAGGCCACACCUGUUCCCAUCUCGAACACAGCAGUUAAGCUCUCCAGCGGCGAUGGUACUGCCACAUCUCGUGGUGGGAGAGUAGCUCGUCGCCGGGA